rnacentral:snRNA from 1 species
AUACCUUUCUCGGCCUUUUGGCUAAGAUCAAGUGUAGUAUCUGUUCUUAUUAGUUUAAUAUCUGAUACGUGGGCCAUUGGCCCCCUUGAUAUUAAUCUUAUUUUUUAUGGUGAAAGGCCUAUCACAAUAGCUUGCUGUUAGGGUCUCUGAGCGUCAUCUUAAAGAUGAUAAAACCUGA